GUGCUCGCUUCAGCAGCACAUAUACUAAAACUGGAACAAUACAGAGAAGAUUAGCAUGGCCCCUGUGCAAGGAUGACACGCAAAUUCAUGAACUGUUCCAUAUUUUU
rnacentral:snRNA from 1 species